rnacentral:rRNA from 1 species
UACGUAGGGGGCAAGCGUUGUCCGGAUUUACUGGGCGUAAAGCGCGCGUAGGCGGGAAGGGAAGUCCGGUGGGAAAGCCCACGGCUCAACCGUGGAACUGCCUUCUAGACUGCAGGCCUUGAGGUCAGGAGAGGCGAGUGGAAUACCGAGUGUAGAGGUGAAAUGCGCAGAUAUCAGGAAGAACACCAAUGGCGAAGGCAGCUCUCUGGGACGGUACUGACGCUGAGACGCGAAAGCGUGGGGAGCGAACAGG